rnacentral:rRNA from 1 species
AGAGUUUGAUCCUGGCUCAGGAUGAACGCUAGCUACAGGCUUAACACAUGCAAGUCGAGGGGAAACGACAUCGAAAGCUUGCUUUUGAUGGGCGUCGACCGGCGCACGGGUGAGUAACGCGUAUCCAACCUGCCCAUCACUUGGGGAUAACCUUGCGAAAGUAAGACUAAUACCCAAUGAUAUCUCUAGAAGGCAUCUGAAAGAGAUUAAAGAUUUAUCGGUGAUGGAUGGGGAUGCGUCUGAUUAGCGUUGUUGGCGGGGUAACGGCCACCAAAGCAACGAUCAGUAGGGGUUCUGGAGAGGAACGGUCCCCANAUUGGAACUGAGACACGGUCCAAACUCCUACGGGAGGCA